rnacentral:rRNA from 1 species
UCGAGAGGCUUCCACAAUGGGGGAAACCCUGAUGGAGCGACGCCGCGUGGGUGAUGAAGGUCUUCGGAUCGUAAAGCCCUUUCGACAGGGAAGAACGGCAUGGGGGUUAACAGCUCCCGAGCAAGGACUGUACCUGUAUAAGAAGCUCCGGCUAACUCCGUGCCAGCAGCCGCGGUAAGACGGAGGGAGCAAGCGUUGUUCGGAUUUACUGGGCGUAAAGGGCGUCUAGGCGGGCAUACAAGUCAGAUGUGAAAUCCAUCGGCUCAACCGGUGAACUGCAUUUGAUACUGUAUGUCUUGAGUACGGGAGAGGAGAGCGGAAUUCCUGGUGUAGCGGUGAAAUGCGUAGAUAUCAGGAAGAACAUCGGUGGCGAAGGCGGCUCUCUGGACCGAUACUGACGCUGAAGCGCGAAAGUGUGGGGAGCGAACA